CGCGGCCCCGGGACGCGGCCGCCUGCGGCCCCCAGGCCCAGCACUUCCUCAGCUGCGCCCACAGCGUCACCCGCCAGCAUUCCCGGGAUUCCAGCCCCGAUCCCGGCCGGAAUUCCACACCCGGAGAGAAUCCCUGCAAUUAAAACUCCUCCGGAAAAGCCUCGGAACCUCCCGGAACCUUCUGGAAUUUCCCCUCUGGAAAAGGGAAUCCGGGAUCCCGAAUUUCCGGAACAUUCCUGGAAUUUGGAUCCCAAAAAUUGGAAAAAAAAAAAAAAGAAAAAUAAAAAAAUUCCAGCGGGAAUUUCCCCGGGAAGGGGCCAAAAA